UGGGGCAGACCCACAAGUGUGGGGCCGGGACCCCCAAGUGUGGGGCAGGACCUAUAAGUGGGGGUCCCGUAACUGCUGGGCUGUUACGUGGGGGUCCUAAUGAACUUAGGGGGGAGGAGGGGGGUUCCAGGUCUAUGGGGCAGACCCCCAAGUGUGGGGCAGGACCUAUAAGUGGGGGUCCCGUAACUGUUGGGCUGUUACAUGGGGUCCUAAUGGGCUUAUGGGGCGGGUACAUAGCUAUGGGGCAAGCUCCGGAUCUAUGGGGCAGACCCACAAGUGUGGGGUGGGACCUCCAGGUGUGGGGCAGACCCACACAUGGGGGGUCCUGUAACCGUUGGGCUGUUCCAUGGGGUCCUAAGGGAUUUAUAGAGGGGGGAGGGGCUCCAGAUCUAUGGGGCAGACCCACAAGUGUGGGGCGAGACCUACAAAUGUGGGGUGGGACCCCCAAGUGUGGGGCAGACCCCCAAGUGUGGGGCGUCCCCGAUGUUCUCUUACAUGGGGGGG
rnacentral:lncRNA from 1 species